GUUUGCCAGCAGUGUGUUCCGCAAAUUAUUUCACCCAUGAACACAGAUUCGAAGCUGAUGUUUAUACUUGAUUCCUCAUCUGUACAGAAACCACUGCCCAAGAAUCAUUGCUGCAACCACUCUGAAGAGCCCAUUUUACACAGUGCUGCCAUUGCUAUGCGUUGCCAGAAAGAGAAAAGCACCUGGCAUUCUCCGUGCAAGAGCUGCAUCAUCCCAGCUUUGUUCUUGAUGUAGUCGAAUGGAAACUCAUUUUGAUGCCGCUCAUAAAGGGUUUCCAUACCUCUUUUGAGCCACACAGGCAGCGACUCCUUGUGCGACAUGAUUGAAGGAGUAAUGAUCACCAAAAAGAAAAGUGAAAAUGG